AGAGUCAGCCGGAUAGUCGCUUCCGUUUAGGCGGAGGAGGAAAGUCCGGGCUCCAUAGGGCAAGGUGCCAGGUAACACCUGGGGGGCGUGAGUCCACGGCAAGUGCAACAGAAAGUAAACCGCCAGUCGACUUCGGUCAAUUGGUAAGGGUGAAAUGGUGCGGUAAGAGCGCACCGCGUUGCUGGUAACAGUAACGGCAAGGUAAACCCCACCGGGAGCAAGACCAAAUAGGAAAGCAUGUGCGUAAGCGCAAGGUAUGGCCCAUACCGCUUUCGGGUAGGUUGCUACAGGCAUGUGGUGACAUAUGUCGCAGAUGAAUGACUAUCUACAACAGAACCCGGCUUAUAGGCUGACUCACUUU
rnacentral:RNase_P_RNA from 1 species